rnacentral:rRNA from 1 species
CUGACCGUAAACUAUGCCAUCUAACGAGUCGGUAUUGGUUAUUACAUUGCCAUUUUGACGAGUUACCCGGAAACGAAAGUCUUUCGGUUCCGGGGGGAGUAUGGUUGCAAAACUGAAACUUAAAGGGAUUGACGGAAAGUCACCACCAGAAAUGGAGCCUGCGGCUUAAUUUGACUCAACACGGGAAAACUCACCCGGUCUAGACACUAAAAUGAAUGACAGACUGAUAUAUCUCUCAAGAUAUAGUGCAAAGUGGUGCAUGGCCGUUCUUAGUUCGUGGAGUAAUCUGUCUGGUUAAUUUCGAUAACGAACGAGACUAGAACAUAGUUAAUUGUGUAUGGUAUAAUUAGGUAUCAUACGGUGAUAAAUGGAUAUGCAAAAUAAAUUGCCUGAAAACUGGCAAUAACAGGUCUGUUAUGCCCUUAGUUGUCCGGGGCCGCACGCGCGCUACAAUGGAAAUUGCAGUGCGUAUAUACUAUAUCGAAAGAUAUGGUUAAACGUGUCAAAUUAUUCCGCAUUCGGGAUCGGAGACUGUAAUUGUUUUCGUGAACGAGGAACUUCAAGUAAGUGUGUGUCAUUAGCGCACGCUG